CUACCUGGCAUUACUGUUAUUCAUGUAGUCAUUCUACAGAAUUUCCCAUGGACAGCUGUGUCAAUGCUAAUGAUAGACAUUUGGCUAGUAAUUGUUCGGAUGGAUACUGCUAUAGUAACAUAGUGUAUGAUAAAAAUAACAAAUCCAUUACUUCGAUGCUCAGAAGAUGUAUGCAAAAGUAUGUAGAAGGGGGUUGUAAUACAGAUUCAAAACAAAUUGUUUGUUCUCAGACGUGCCAAGAAGAUUAUUGCAAUAAUAAAACAAAUCUUUUGUCAAAUACAGGUUACAAGCAGGAUAAAUCAGCUUCUGCUACCUGGAAUUACUGUUAUUCAUGUAGUCAUUCUACAAAAUUUCCCAUGGAAAGCUGUGUCAAUGCUAAUGAUAGAAAUUUGGCCAAGAAUUGUUCAGAUGGAUACUGCUAUAGUAACAUAGUAUAUGAUAAAAAUACCAAAUCCAUUACUUCGAUGAUUAGAAGAUGUAUGAAAAAGUAUGUAGAAGGAAGUUGUAAUACAGAUCCAAAACAAAUUGUUUGUUCUCAGACGUGCCAAGAAGAUUAUUGCAAUAGUAAAACCAAUCUUUGGUCAAAUACAGGUUACAAGCCGAAUUAUUCUGUACUUCUCAUCUUCUGUACUGUUUUCUUUUAUGUUUUGAUAAACUAGUUUGAAAAAUAAAAAAGCAUUUUUGCAGAAAUUUUAA